rnacentral:rRNA from 1 species
UACGUAGGCAGCGAGCGUUGUUCGGAAUUACUGGGCGUAAAGAGUGUGUAGGCGGUGCUCUAAGUUCGGUGUGAAAUCUCCUGGCUCAACUGGGAGGGUGCGCCGGAAACUGGAGUGCUUGAGCGUGGGAGAGGAAAGCGGAAUUCCUGGUGUAGCGGUGAAAUGCGUAGAUAUCAGGAGGAAUACCGGUGGUGUAGACGGCUCUCUGGACCGCCACUGACGCUGAGACACGAAAGCGUGGGUAGCAAACAGG